GUGAAGGAAAUACAUUGACAAGUAAAUGUUCUAUCCCCAGGAACAGUUAACCCAUAGAUGGAGACCCUCUAGUUUGUUUUAGAAGAAUUAUUACGCUUUUCCUGAAAAUACCAAAGCAGACAACAAUGAGGUUCUGCUAAAUUGAGACAGCCAGACAAGCUACACUUGGAGGAAACUGAUGAAGGGUCUUUAAUUGUAUAACAUGCCAGGAAGCCUCCACUGCCAUUCUGUUCAUUACCCCAGCCCCUGAUGAUCUAAAUUGAUGUCAGUCAAGGAUUGACUGAUGUCAAGAUUUCUUCCACCUACUGUAUAUGGUACUUUAUGACCAUUAGGUCUAAAAAUCAAGAUGGUUUCUUCAUUCAUAGUAGAAAGAAGUGGAAAACGUAUUCAUUCUGGAGCUAUGGCGGGUCUUUGGAGUUGCAUGAGACAAACCACUGGGGAAAUACUGUUUGAUUAUAUGUGAGAUGAGAGGAUACCUUAAAUUAUAUAGCUACCAUCCAAUUCGUAAUCCUUUGAAGAAAAGAUUCUAAGUUUACAUGGUUCGUUGUAGCAAAUCCGAGCACGUUGUCGUUCCUUAGACCAAUUUGUGUACAUAUGGGUAUAUAUGUAUGUUAUAUGCAUGUAACAACGUGCACAAUAAAUUUACGAGGCUAGUUCAGAUGAGCUAGACCAAUUUGUGUACAUAUGGUUAUAUGCAUGUAUGUUAUAAUUAA